UACGUAGGGGGCAAGCGUUGUCCGGAUUUAUUGGGCGUAAAGAGCGUGUAGGCGGCCAUACAGGUCCGUUGUGAAAACUCGAGGCUCAACCUCGAGACGUCGACUGAAACCGUCUGGCUAGAGUCCGGAAGAGGAGAGUGGAAUUCCUGGUGUAGCGGUGAAAUGCGCAGAUAUCAGGAAGAACACCUGUGGCGAAGGCAGCUCUCUGGGACGGUACUGACGCUGAGACGCGAAAGCGUGGGGAGCGAACAGG
rnacentral:rRNA from 1 species